GGGAAUGGUCAUAGCUCAGUGCUGGAGCAUAUGCUUUUGAUUCAGAAGUCAAGUCCCAGGUUCAAUCCCUGGCAACCCCA